rnacentral:rRNA from 1 species
AGUGAACGCUGGCGGCGUGCUUAACACAUGCAAGUCGAACGAGAACGGGCUAUAGCUUGCUAUAGUUGUCAGCUAAGUGGCGCACGGGUGAGUAAUGUAUAGGUAAUAUGCCUCUUACUAAGGGAUAACAAAUGGAAACGUUUGCUAAUACCUUAUACUCCUUAUUAACAGAAGUUAAUAAGGGAAAGAUUUAUUGGUAAGAGAUUAGCCUGUAUUGUAUCAGUUAGUUGGUGGGGUAAUGGCUUACCAAGACUAUGACACAUAACUGGUUUGAGAGGAUGAUCAGUCACACUGGAACUGAGACACGGUCCAGACUCCUACGGGAGGCAGCAGUGGGGAAUAUUGCACAAUGGACGAAAGUCUGAUGCGGCAACGCCGCGUGGAGGAUGACACAUUUCGGUGCGUAAACUCCUUUUAUAUGAGAAGAUAAUGACGGUAUUAUAUGAAUAAGCACCGGCUAACUCCGUGCCAGCAGCCGCAGUAA